ACUAGGGCAGAGAGAUAAGGUCAUGUCGAAACCACACACUGGCCAGUAAAACAUCUUUUUUAAAAUGUGAUGAAGAAUUGUCUCUGAGAAAAUGUGUUGGCAAACAUGUUGGCCCAUGCCUGUAAUCCCAGUUCUUUGGGAGGCCAAGGUGGAGAAUUGCUUGAAGCCAGGAGUUCAAGACCAGCCUGGACAAUAUGGCAAGACCUCAUCUCUUAAAAAAAAAUUAGCCAGGCCUUCAGACCUGGAUUGAGAUCUACACCAUCAACUCUGGCUCUUAGGCCCUCAAACUACACCAUCACUUUCCUGAGUCUCCGGCUUGCAGACAGCAGUUGAACUACGUGUCUUCUGAUCAGUGGUGAAUGAAAGAAAAAAAGUGAACUACAAACUUAAAGAUUAGGUGUGUGAAUUCUGGCAUAGAUGAUGACUAGGAGGAAGGGAGUUGAUAUGAAAAGGAAAAGGAAGAAGAGAAGAGACACGGAUAAGGGGAGAGAUUUGGGAUGAGCAGGAAGAUUAAAUAUGAUUGACGAGUACAAUACAGAGCUGAUAAUGAAUUUGAGAAUAAAAACCUUUUUGCCUACUCAAAAUCGCAUGGCUGAGCUCCACCACACCACCUCAGAUCUUUUCCAAGGAAUUAGUCUUAUUAGCAAAGUGAACAGUGUGUGAAAUGACGCCCAAUAAAUAUGAUUUUUGAUCCACGAGGAUAUGCUCAUAAGGAAAGAUUACUGAUUUUAACUAGUACCCUAAAGGCAUAAAGAAUUAACUUUCAGAUGGUAAGCAUUUUACUCCUCGUUCAGUGAUAGGAUUAGGUCCAUUGCCUUUAAUAUGAAGAAAUUAUAUUGUCUAUCAGUAGUUUAGCAGAUUAACACAAAUUAAUUUUUUUCCAUAUAAAUUUUUUUGGCAGAGAUCCUUAGGAACUCUUAGAGGGGUGAGGAGCAAGACUAAAAUGGUCAUCAUUCAGUUCAUGUUUUUUUUUAAGAACCAAUGCUUAUUUCAGUACAGAAUGAGUUAUUAAUUCUUUAAUAUUGUCUUUUUUUGAGUUCUAAUGUCCCACAGGAGAAAUACAUGAUAAAGAUUAGGAAGAUUAAUUCAUGCAAUGUCAAUAACAUGACUCAGUAAUACUCAGCUAUCAAAGCCAGAAUGCUUUAACCUUCUUGAAAGAAGGUUGGAAACGAAUAGACUGAAAAAGUAGGAGACUACAGUUUGAAAGCCAAGUGCAUUGUCCAACUCAUUGUCCAAGAAUGAAACAGGGAAAAGUAUGCAGCAGCCAAGAAAUAAAUAACAACCUGAAGAUGAAUCUUUUACAUCCAAAUUUUGUUCCAGUACUCUCUGCCCAUCACAGACCGAGACCCCACUGUCACCACUACCAGGCUUGCACUGACCACUCACAUCUCAAGAUCAGAUGCUUCCUUCAGAGCCCACAAUUAUUCCACUUCCUCCUCUAUUUGGUCUUCAAUGAAUUAUCACCAAAAAAUGACAAGACCUGGAACCAGCAGAAGUCACAACCACCAAAGCCUUCAUUCAGGUUAGUAUGUUUAUAAAAUAAACACAAGCUUUGGUGCUGCUGGCAAUCAACAGCAGGAGUAACUCCUCUCUCAAAAGCAACCACUACAUAUAGCCCAAAUCUGAGUUUCAGAAGAACAUGUGGACCACAUGUCAUCAUAUUCUAUAAAUGGGCAAAAGAUGGCUUCUGUGGAUUGGUUCUAGGUUGCAUAUUUCUUCACUGCAGCCGGAGACCCAUUAGCUCAAACGUCUGUCAACUCCAAACUCAAAUUUUUACAUGUCCAUUUAUUUUUUUAAAACAACCCAAAUAAGCAAAUUUUUAGCCAUCAAGAGCCUGCCUGCUUUGCAGACCCCAAGAAACUUCACCCAAUAGCUAUUACCUGUUGGUAAGAAAGGAUCUUGUGAUGAUAAGACCUCCAGACCCUGCUGCCUGUCAGAGCUCCCUGACCAAGAAACUCCCAUGGUGUGGCUGAGCAACACCACUGGGUAACCACCUUCUCGGAUCCCCCUCUACCCUGGGAGUUCCCUUGUUCUCUUUCCCUUCGGAAUGGGUGACUCCCCUCACCAUAAGCCUCUGAAUGGUUGUAUGCCGAAAGGUGCUUCCCCUCUCAUGCAACCCUGUCCAAGUACCACACAAUAAAGCUGGUUGUAUAUU